UACGGGGGGGGCAAGCGUUAUUUGGAAUUCCUGGGCGUAAAGCGCACGUAGGCGGCCAUGCAAGUCGUGGGUGAAAGCCCUCGGCUCAUCCGAGGAACUGCCUUCGAAACUGCUUGGCUUGAGUCCGGGAGGGGGGAGCGGAAUUCCCAGUGUAGCGGUGAAAUGCGUAGAUACUGGGAGGAACACCGGUGGCGAAGGCGGUUCCCUGGACCGGUAUUGGCGAUGUGGUGCGAAAGCGUGGGUAGCAAACAGG
rnacentral:rRNA from 1 species